UACUUCUCUACCGAAGGAGGUGUAAGGUGCUCCUUCCCUUCCCUAGCCAGCAGGUCACCCUUCAGCAAGGUUUAGCCCCCCCAAUCAGGGUCACGUGAAACCGUGGGAGCAGGUGGUGGAUGGGCAUACGAGCAGAUGGUGCAUAUCACAAGCCCUGGCUAUGCCACCACUGACACCAGACAGACAAUCUCUGAAGAGCAUUGAAAAUGGCUCCCCUUGUAAGACACUGACCAGAAGAAGGCAAUGGCAAGCCAUUUCUGUAGAAAUAUUUGCCAAGAGCAAUCACGGUCAAGAGCAUGAUUGCCAACGUUAUACGAUGUGGUACAUAAUGAACGAAUGAACACCAAUCACUUCCUCCCUAUUCCUCAUGCGGACCGACCGACCUCGGGGUGAAAAGGUUGCCCUCAAGUUUUUAUUAUGUGCUGGGUGCUGUGAAUAUACUGAAGGCCAAUGCAAUAGAGGCAUGUAAGAGGCUCUUAAACUGGCAAACUGUGACCCUGUGGGUUUCCUCCCACAGUCCAAAGACAUACCGGUUGGUAGAUUAAAUGGUCAUCGUAAAUUGUCCUGUGAUUAGGCUAGGCUUGGGAGUUUUUGGGCAGCACAACUUGAAGGGCAAGAAGGGCCUAUUCCAUGCUGUAUCUCAAUUUUUUAAAAAUAUGUGCAGUAAAUGAAAGGAGAAGAGCACUGUAGGCAGAAGGGGUUAGGAUAGUUGGGCAUUUGAUUCAUAGUGGAAUUAUUUCAGUAUAGUGUUGUGGGUCACAGGGCCUUUUCCUGCACUGCGCAAAAUAAAAGGCUCUCAUUGGCUGUGGACCACAUGGCACUGUGCAGCAGUAACAAAUCAGAAUCAGGUUUGUUAUCACUGACUGAUAUGACAUAAGAUCUGGUGUUUUGUAGCAGCAGGACAGUGCAAAGAUAUAAAAUCACUAUUAAUUUCAAAAUAAAUAAAUAGUGCAAAAUAAAAGGAAUAGCAAUGUAGUGUUCAGAGACCAAUCAGAAACCUGAUGGCAGAGAGGGUGAGGUUGCUUCUGAAUCAUUGGGUGGCCUCCAUCCUUCCUCCCUAAUGGCAGUAAGAGGACAUGUCCCAGAAGAUGAGGGUCCUCGUUGAUGAAUGCUGCCUUCUUGAGCACCACCUCCUGAAGAUGGACGUGAAGGUGGGGAGGGUUGUGCCCACGACGGAACAGGCUGAGUCUACAGCCCUCUGAGGCCUUAUGUGAGCCUAUGCAUGGGAGCCUCGACACCAGACUGUGACGCAACCAGUCAGCAUGCUCCCCACUGUGGAUCUAACAGAACUUGUAUUGCUAGCAUCUGCAUCCUUUUUGAUGCCCAUUUAGUAAGAAGUUUUAAGUGGACACUGGACCAUUGCCGAUCAAUUCUGUGCAACCAAUGCUGCUCUAUUUUACGUUGUGCUCCAGCUUCCUCCCACAUUCCAAAGUAUUUUUCGGGGCUGUGAGUUGUCGACACACCAUCUUGGUGGUGGAGGCCUGGCGAUACUGGGAGGGCUGCCUCAGACUGCAUUGGUCGGAGCCCAAAAACGAUGCGUUUCACUGGAUGUUUCGAAGUAUGUGUGACAAAUAAAAUUUAA